CUUUCGGGUGGGUCAGCAUCACUGGACUCCUGCAGACUCUGGGACCCUCUGAAGGAGUAUUCAGCAGCUGAAAGUUAAAACCUAGCUCACUAGGCUGCUGCAGGAGUUGAGGUAGGAACCUGCAAACCCAGGCACGCGGCUUCUUUAACUCCUUCCUUUCUGUGAACUUAAGCACUCACAUACACUGAAGCUACCACACACAACGUAUCUUGCAAGUAUUUUCCAUCUCACUUUAACGUAUUCUUGAGGCUAUCUGAAUUGAUGCCCAGAGCCAUAUCCAUUUCCCAAUGGAUUAUAUGGUGUUUUCAUUCUAUAAACAGAUCUGAGGCAUAAACCAGAUGGUGGUGUACACCUCAGGAGACUGGGACAGAAGGAUUAAAAAUGUACCAGCUUACCAUCGUCUGAGAUAUUUUAAAUAAAUUUAUUUAUUUAUUUAUUUAAGAUGUGGCCUACACGUGUGCAGGGCAUUGUAGCAUGGCUGGUACCCAUAGAGGCCAGAAGAGGGAGCCAGAGCCCCCAAGGUGGGAGCACAGAUCUCCAUCAACCUCCAUUGAUUGUUGGGACCCAGGUCCUCUAUAAGAGCAGCCAGCGUGCUCAACCAGUGAGCCACCUGUCUGGUCCUGUCUUAGAUAUUUUAUUGCCCCUCCUUUUGUUUUUUGGUUCGUGGUGGAGUUAGAAAUUCAAGGCCAGACUUAGGCUAUCUAGCAAGUUAAAGGUGCAUUUAAGCAUGCAUCUCUGGAGCACAUACACAUUUCAAAACUUCCAAGGCUGGACAUGGUGGUGCACACCUUUAGUUCCAAGAAAAGCCUGAAUCUCUGAAUUCAAGGCCAGACACAGCUACACAGUGUGACACUGUCUAAAAAAAGAAAAACAAACCAAUCCACAAACCCCCUGCAUCAAUAGGCUGCACAGCUGGAUCCCAGCAAACACUCGUACAUUUUCAGACGCACGUUUCUGGCCUGUGGUAGCUUUCAUUUUUCAGUUUGCUUGGCCCUUUGAGAGGGGUAUUAUGUAACCCUGGCUGGAUUCAAAGUUGCUAUGCAUCUGAAACUGAUCUUGGACCCUGGCUGCGGCUUUAAAGUGCUGGGACAACAGGUGCGUGCCAUCCAGUUUGGCCAGCUUAUGCAUAGCUGUUUUACUGUUUUUUAAAGUUUCUCUGUGUGGCCCUGGCUGUCCUGGAACUCACUCUGUAGACCAGACUACUGGCCUCAGACUCAGAGAUCUGCCUAAGUCUGCCUCCCAAGUGGUGGGAUUAAAGGCGUGCACCACCACUGCCCCCAGCUGGGUUGUUUUUGUUUGUUCUCCCAAGACAGUUUCUCUGUAGCCCUGACCGAAACUCACUCUAUAGACCAGGCUGGCCUUGAACACAGAGAUCCUCCUGCCUUUACUUACUGAGAGCUGGGAUCAAAGUGUGCACCACCACUGUCCAGCUUCAGGCUUGUAGUUUUGAUUUUUUUCCCCUUAUGUUUACAGGUGUUUAGCCUGCAUGUUUAUGUGUGCCACACACAUGCAAUGCACAUGGAGGCCAGAAGAGGGCAAUGGAUCCUCCAGAACUGGAAUCUCAGAUGGCUACAGACCAUUUACAUGUGUACUGGGAAUCAAACCCAGGUCAUCUAGAACAGCCUGGUUGUAGAUGGAAUCUCUAUUGCACCAGCUGCCUUCAAAUUCCAGAACUCAAAGCCAGGCAGUGCUGGCACACACCUUUACAACAGUACUCAGGAGGCAGAGACAGUCAGGAGGAUGUCUCAGUUCAAGGCCAGCCUGGUCUAUAGAGUGAGUUCCAGGACACCCAGGGCUAUAUAGAGAAACUCUAUUUCAAACAAAACAAAAUUAUGUGCAUGGGGAUUUGCAUGAGUGUAGGUACCCAAGAAAUUGAGAAGAGGGCAUUGGAUUUUCUGGAGCUAGAAUUACGGGUAGCUUGAGAGAUACCUGACGUGGGUGCUAGGAAUGGAAAUCCAGUCCUGUUAGAACAGUAUGUAGCCCUGGCUGUUCUGGAUUCGCUUUGAAGACCAUGCUGGUCUAGAACGCCUAGAGAUCUGCCUCCCAAAGUUUGGGGAUUAAAGGUAUGUACCAUUUGUAAGUGGACAUUUUUGUUUUGUAAAGUUUCGCCUUUUUCCCCAGAUGAAAUCUCACUCUGAAUGCUGCAACCCAGGCUGUUCUCAAAUUCAGAGCAAUUUCUUUGCCUUGCCUCCCAACCACGUGGACCACCACACCCACAUUUGGAGGAUCAGUCUUUCUCCAUUAGGGUGUGAGCGGUGGGCUUCCUAUGGCUUUUACAAGGCAUUCUCAUUCUUCUCCUAGCUUGAGUGUAUGAGACCAUGUGCAUUCACAAACCUUUGUAGGUCAGAAGUGUGUUAAACCCCCUGAAAUUGGACUUAAAGGCUAUUGUGGGUUCUGAGCCUAGGCCCUCUGCAAGAGCAGUAUAUAUUCUUAGCUUCUGAGCCAUCCUCUAGCCCCAAAUCAUGGUGUAUUUAUUAGUUUUUUUUAGCUCUAGUAGGCACUGCAGUUUCACAGCAUUUUAGGAGAACCUAGAAUGUUGAACACUUGUGGGUUGUUCCUUCAAAGGAAGGGAUGCAUAACCGGUUGUCCACCCAGAAAGUCAGCUAAUAGCCUGAUGCCCUCUGCACUCAUCUGUGUGGCCAAGAACAUGUGGGGUCCCCCUAGACCGAUAUGAGCUUGUUUUUCUGUCUCUAGAACCGAUCUCCUGAAGGUGUCAUGUGCACUUUACAAAGUAUCUCCAGUCUGAUCUUUAGACUACUUUGUUCCUCGAGAUUUGUGUAUGUUUUUUUAAAAAGAUUUAUUUAUUAUAUGUAAGUACACUAUAGCUGUCUUCAGACACACCAGAAGAGGGCAUCGGAUCCCAUUAGAUGGUCGAGAGCGGGUUGGGGAUUUAGCUCAGUGGUAGAGCGCCUGGGUUCGGUCCCUAGCUCAGAAAAAAAGAAAAAAAAAAAGUUAAAAACAGAUGGUUGUGAGCCACCAUGUGGUUGCUGGGAUUUGAACUCAGAACCUCUGGAAGAGCAGUCUGUGCUCUCAAUCCCUGAGCCAUCUCUCCAGCCCUUGUGUAUGUUUUAUUGUACAUGAUUGUUAGUUACCAGGAAAGUAAUUACCAACUUGUGCUGUCCUUAAGUAUGCCUAAGAUAAACUAACCAGGUCAGCCUCGGAAGUGAAUCAACAAGCGCUACAAACUGCCUUCUUGCCUCCUGUAGACUGUUACUCUGCUGACCCCCAAAAUGAAUGGCCCACAGAGAUGCUGGACACUGAAUCUGGGUCCUCUAAAAGGAUAACCAGUGUUGCUGAUAACCAUUUAGCCAUCUCUCCAGCCCAAAUGUGUAGCCCUGGCUGUUCUAGAACUCUUUUUUUUUUUUUGGUUCUUUUUUUUUCGGAGCUGGGGACCGAACCCAGGGCCUUGCGCUUCCUAGGCAAGCGCUCUACCACUGAGCUAAAUUCCCCCCCCCCCCCUUAGAACUCUUAUCUGUAGACCAGGCUGCUCUGCACCUGGAGAUCCACCUGCUUCUGUAUCCUGAGUGCUGGGAUUAAAGGUAUGAGCUGGCACAGCUAGGCUCCCAUAUUAACAUGCAGCCUAUUACCCUGCAAAUAAGAAAGUAGGUGGGCCUGUGUGCUAUGUAUCCAUGAACGCUGAUUCCCUCAGAGGCCAGAUAUUAGAUCUUCCAGAACUACCAUGUGUGGGUGCUGGGAACUGAGCUCAGGGCCUGUGCAAGAGCAACGCACACUCUUAACCAUUGAGUGAUCUUUCAGCUCGUUUUGGUUUUGAGGUAGCCCUGGCUGGCUGGGAGAUCAACCGCGUAAGCCAGGCUGGCUUUGAACCUAAGUGAUCUUCUGCCUUCUAUGUGUGCUUUUGAGACAAAAUGUCACCAUGUAGCUUGGCCCCAUUUUUUCUUCAGAUUUGUGUGGUUUUUUUAUUAAGUAUAUUUUACGUGCAUGUGUAUCUGUGCAACAUGUGUGUGCCUGGUCCCUGCAAAGGUCAAAGGGAUCCAGACCCCCUAGGACUAGAGUUGUGAACUGCUAUGUGGGUGCCCAGAAGUGGACCAAAUCCUUUGCAAGAACAGCAAAUGCUUCUAAUCACUGAGUCAACACUCCAGCCCUGGCUUUGACUUCCCAGUGUUUCUACUUCAGCUUCCUAGGUUUUGAACUGUCCUGCAUCUCAGUGAAAAACCUUAUCAUACUGUAUGAUCUUUUCAGCUUUUAUUUUUGUUUGAGUUUUUUGAGAUAGGGCCUCAUGUAGCCCAGGCUUGCCUUGAACUCAAUAUGCAACUGAAAGAACAUUUUAAAUUCUGAUCCUUCUGCCUCCACUGAGUGCUAAAAAAACUAUAUGCCAUACGGCAAUGUCAGUUUAUGCCCAAACUUCAUGAAUGUUAGGCAAAAACUCUUUUUUUUUUUUUUUUUUUUUCCGGAGCUGGGGACCAAACACAGGGCCUUGCGCUUGCUAGGUAAGCGCUCUACCACCGAGCUAAAUCCCCAACCCCAGGCAAAAACUCUGAAUGACAUCUCUGUUCCCUUUUGGGCUUGUUUUUUCCCCAGACAGGGUUUUCCUAUGUAGGCCUGUCCUGGAACUUGCUCUUUAGAUCAGGCUGGCCCAAACCACCUGCCUUGGCAUCACCGUUGCCUGGCUCAUCUAAUUAAAACGUUUAUUGGGUAUGUGUAUAAAAUAAGAGUGUGCAUAACUACAGUUUAUUUAUGGAGAUUAGAACACAACUUGCAGAGUUUCUCUCAUAGGACAUGGGCCCUCGGGGACUGAAUUCUGGUUGUUGGGCUUAGAGCUAAGUGUCUUUACCUACACAGCCAUCUCUCCAGCCCUUAAUUUUAUGUGUAUACACGGUUACUGUGUUUUUCACACUUCACGGGGGGGGGGGGGGGUGCAAAGGCAUCACAGCAUAGGUAGAGGCCAGAAGACAACUUGGGGGAUUUGGUUCUCUAUUGUGAGUUCUCAAAAUUAAAUUCAAGCUUAGGCAAACACCUUUAUCCGAAGAGCCUUCUUGCUAAUUUUUUAAGAGAUGUGUUUUAGAUCUGGAGAUACGGUGAGAUGGAGGAGUACAGGACCUGGUUCACUUCCCAGAACCCACAUGGAGUUCAGACGCCUGCAACCUCAAAUUCUAGGGGACCUGAUAUCCUCAUACACACAUGCAUACAUGCAGGGAAAACCACCAAUCCACAUAAAAAAUAAAUUUUAGAAAUUAAAAAAAAAUUAUUGUAUGAGCAUUUCACCAGCAUGUGUAUUACCCCAGAGGGCAGGAGAUGGAACUCAGUAUGGUACCAUGUACUGCUGCUUAACAACACAAAUGGCCGACUGCAGGUCAGUAAAGAAUGUUAAUGUUUAUUGUAGGAGGGUGGUGGUGCAUGCCUUUAACCCCAGCACUUGAAAGGCAGGGGGCAGAUGAAUGUCUGGAUUAGAGGGCAGCCUGGUCUACAGAGUGCCAGUACAGCCAAGGUUAUACAGAAAAACCUGUCCUGAGAAACAAAACUAGCUUUAUGGCUGGAGAGAUGGCUCAGUGGUCAAGAGCACUGACUGCUCUUCCAGAGGUCCUGAGUUCAAAGCCCACACGGUGGCUCACAACUCCAACACCCUCAUACAAGCAUACAUGUAGCCAAGACACCAAUGGCCACAAAAGGUUUACUCUCGUGGUUCAGUUCCCAGCA